rnacentral:rRNA from 1 species
UACGUAGGGACCGAGCGUUGUCCGGAAUCAUUGGGCGUAAAGAGCGUGUAGGCGGCCUUUUAAGUCCUGCGUGAAAUCCUGCGGCUCAACCGCAGACGGUCGUGGGAAACUGGAAGGCUAGAGUGCGGGAGAGGAGAGUGGAAUUCCCGGUGUAGCGGUGAAAUGCGCAGAUAUCGGGAGGAACACCAGUGGCGAAGGCGACUUCCUGGCCUGUUCUUGACGCUGAGGCGCGAAAGCUAGGAGGCAGCAAGGGG